CUGCAUUGUACGAUGUCAAAUCUUUAGGAUAAACUACCGACUAAUUUAACCGGCCGAUUUUGGGCGGGUUAAAAUUUAUUCUACAGAUUAUCCAGCAAAACAAUAUGGCGGACUAUAGUAGCUCCGAAUCGGAAACUGAAAAUAAUCUUGAUUUAGAUUAUUUAGAUUUUAUUUAUCCAAAUCCAGAACGGAUAUUUUUGAAAAGAAUAUAUCCAUUUACUUUAUACAAUGAUGAUAAAUAUCAUGAGAGGUUUUGUUUACGAAAAUCAAUAGUUUUACAGCUACUGUCUGAGGUAAGUGAAACACAACAUGCAUUUUAUAAAUCAAAAGUCCAUUAUUUUAUUUUAAAUUUAUAGAGUAA
rnacentral:lncRNA from 1 species